rnacentral:tRNA from 1 species
ACUCCUGUAGCCCAACGGAAGAGGCGACUGUCUCAAAACCAGUCAAUGUGCGGGUUCGACUCCCGCCAGGAGUACCA